rnacentral:lncRNA from 1 species
UGGCUAGGAACUCUUGAAGAGCUGCAAGUCCUUAUAUUAAAGUCGAACAAGUUCCAUGGACCUUAUAAGUAUUAGGCAAAAAUUUUCCUUUCCCCACGUUGCGGAUUUUCGAUCGCUCUUAUAAUGAGUUGAGUGGCUCACUUCCUGCAGAAGUUUUUCAAAACUUCAAACCAAUGAUAAAAUAUGACACAAAUAAAGGUGGCAUAAGAUAUAUGAAAAAAUCAUUUAACUCAUCUUAUAUAAUGUACGAGGAUUCAGUGGGGUUGGUGAUCAAAGGAAACGAUAUUGAGCUAGAAAGAAUCACCACAAUUAUGACCACCAUAAAUUUGUCAAGCAACCAUUUUGAAGGUGUGGUUCCGAAAACACUAAAGGAUCUUGGCUCACUUUGGCUACUCAAUUUAUCCUUUAACAAUCUCACAGGUGAUAUUCCAAUGGAACUGGAAUAAUUGAAUAUGCUUGAAGCGUUAGAUCUCUCUUGGAAUCGGCUUACUGGAAGGAUUCCGCAGGAAUUGACAAGGCUAACAUUUCUAGCAAAGUUAAACCUCUCGCAAAAUCUUCUUGUUGGAAGCAUUCCUCGCGGUCCACAGUUCUAACACAUUUGAAAAUGACUCGAAUGCAAUGGCGGAUCCAGGAAUUUAUUUCAGGGGGUUCGAAAAAAUAAAAAUAUAAAUGUGUGAAUAUGUCAACAAAAUAUAAUUUCAAGGUAUAGCAGUUGUACAUGCGUUCUUUUUGUUAUUAUAGCUGUACAGGACAGCUACUAUAGCAGUAGUGCAAAACAGAUUUUAAAAAAUAAAGCGAAGUGUUAGAAAAAUGCAUAAGAGCUGCAACAGUUUAAUUUUUAUGUUAUCUGUUAGAAGUUAAUAUUAGUCGGCAGUAAAAUUAGUUUCUAAUCCUUAUCCGUAUCUUUAGGAGUUGGUUAUUUUUUCCAGUUAGGAUUGUAAACUAUAAAUAAUUUUAAUUCUACAAUAAAGCUGUAGUUUUUGCUUUCACCAAUCUCUCUCUAUUAAAGUUAUCAAACUCAUGUUCCACUUGUUCAUCAACAAGUAAAAUCAGUUUCUUAUGUUCUUCACUCUCUAGAAACUAACAAUUGGUAUCAAAGCACUUACUUCUUGAGAGAUCUAUGGGUGUUUCAUAAAAGUAAUAACUGAAACAAGACAAGUUUCUGAAGCAUGGAAGUAGAAUCAAGUUUUUCAACUAUGGCACCACCUGUUUUUAAUGGUGAUAACUAUCAGAUUUGGGCUGUAAGGAUGGAAACUUAUCUAGAUGCCAUGGAUAUGUGGGAGGCAGUUGAAGAGGAUUAUGAAAUUCCUCCAUUGCCUAACAAUCCAACUAUGGCCCAGAUCAAGAACCAUAAAGACAGGUAAACUAGAAAAUCAAAGGCAAAAGCCUGUUUAUUUUCAGCAGUAUCUUCUUCAGUUUUCACUCGAAUUAUGUCUCUAAAGUCUGCCAAAGACAUAUGGGAUGAAGGGGAUGAGGGGAUCAAAGGUAUGCAAGUUUUGAAUCUUAUAGGAGAUUUUGAGAUGCAGAAGAUGAAAGAAAUCGAAACCAUAAAAGAUUACUCUAAAAGGCUCCUGAACAUAGCAAAUAGAGUAAGAUUGCUUGGUUCCGUGUUUAAUGAUCCUCGUAUUGUUGAAAAAAUUCUAGUAACUGUGUCGGAAAGAUUUGAAGCAACCAUAACUACUUUGGAAACACCAAGGAUCUGUCCAAGAUCACCUUGGCGGAGUUGUUGAAUGCUUUGCAGGCUCAUGAACAACGAAAGGUCAUGAGAGAUUAAAUAAAUACCGAGGGAGCAUUGUUUGCCAAGCCUCAAGAUGGAGGUAAAGAUAAAAAGAACAAGAACAAGAAGAAUGAUGAAAGCGCUUCAGCAGGUACUGCAACAGGAAAAACUGGAAACAAAAAGAAAAGUUUUCCUCCAUGUAAGCAUUGUAACAAGAAAGGCCAUCCACCAUACAAGUGUUGGAGAAGGCCUAACACUAAGUGUAGUAAAUCCAAUCAACUUGGGCAUGAAAAGGUUAUUCCUGUACAAGGAAAGGGAACGGUUGCUAUUCCAAGUCACUCAGGUACAAAAACAAUUUCUGAAGUGUUUUAUGUACCUGAAAUAGAUCAGAACUUGCUUAGUGUUGGUCAAUUGAUGGAAAACGACUUCAAAUUAAAUUUUGAAGAUAAAUAUUGCUUGAUCAAGGAUGCAUCAGAUCAAGAAAUAUUUAAAGUAAGAAUGAGAGGUAGAAGCUUCUCAUUAGAUCUAUUUAAGAAGGAGCAUGUGAUUUUUUCAGCCAAAGAAAAUGUUGCAGAAGUAUGGCACAAGAGACUAGGACAUUAUCACUAUGAAGGGUUGCUUAAAAUGCAAAAGGCAGAAAUAGUCGAGGACCUACCUGUCUUAAGAAGUGAAUUCUUCAAAUUGCCUUGCGUGUCAAUAUGGGAAACAAAGCAGACUUCCAUUUCCAAAAUCAACUUGGAGAGCAUUAAAGAAAUUGCAAUUAAUUCAUACCGAUAUAGCAGGACCUCAAAGGACUCCCUCACUAAAAGGUAGUCUUUACUAUAUCAUUUUUGUUGAUGAUCUAACUCGCAUGUGUUGGAUUUACUUUCUCAAGCGUAAGUCAGAGGCUGCUAAUGUCUUUCGGAAGUUCAAAGUAAAAGUAGAAAAUAAAGCUGCUUGUAAAAUUCAGUCUAUACGAAUAGAAAAUGGAAAGGAAUACACUUCUUAACAAUUCAACAUUUUAUGUGAGGAAGCAGGGAUUCAUCAUCAGCUUAAUACUGAGUAUACUCCUCAAUAAAAUGGAGUAAGUGAAAGAAGAAACAGAUACAUAAUGGAGAUGACCAGAUGCAUGUUGCACGAGAAGUUCAGAUACAUAAUGGAGAUGACCAGAUGCAUGUUGCACGAGAAGAACUUGCCAAAGAAAUUUUGGGCAGAAGCAGCAAAUACAUUAGUUUUUCUCCAAAAUAGGCUUCCCACAAAGGCGGUGAGAGGUCGAACUCCUUUUGAAGCUUGGUAUGGGUUCAGACCAUCAUUACACUUUCUUAAAGUAUUUGGUUGUCUCUGUUUUUCCUAUGUUCCUCAAGUUAAACGAGACAUACUAGAUAAGAACUCUAUUCCAGGCAUUUUUAUUGGAUACAGUGCAGUUUCAAAGGCGUAUAAAGUCUUCCAACCGCAAAUUGAAAAUAUAAUCUUCAGUAGAGAUGUGUAUUUACGGAGAAUGAAGAAUGGUGUUGGGAAGACUCAAAGAAAUCUUUCCUAAACUCUUCGGACUCAGCAGAAAAGUUUCCUGCCAAAGUUCCUGAAAAGCAAAUAUCACUCUCAUCGCAAGAUAAAGCGGUGGAUCAUUCACCGGUUAAAGGUACUCGACUACUCACUGAUAUAUAUCAGAGAUGUAAUGUAGUAGUAUGUGAACCUACUGGGUAUAUUAAAGCCAAGAAUGAUGAAAAUUGGGUGGCUGCAAUGAAAGAGGAGUUGUUUAUGAUUGAGAAGAACAUGACUUGGAAGCUUAUUGAUCAACCUAAAGACAGAAAAGUAAUUGGGUUGAAAUGGUUCUUCAGAACAAAGUUAAAUGCUGAUGGUUCAGUCAACAAGCAUAAAGCAAGGCUUAUCGUUAAAGGAUAUGCUCAAAUUUUUUGUGUGGAUUACUUUGAUACAUUCGCACCAGUGGUUAGGCUUGACACGCUCAGGUUACUUUUUGCUCUUGCUGCACAAUUGGAAUAGAAAGUGUAUCAGAUGGAUGUCAAAUCGGCAUUUCUUAAUGGUUUUCUCCAGGAAGAAAUUUAUGUUGAGAAACCAGAAGGCUUGGUGACGAAAGAAAAAGAGGAAAAAGUUUACAAGCUAAGGAAGGCGCUUUAUGGACUUAAACAGGCACCAAGGGUCUGGUAUGGUCGAAUAGAUGAUUAUUUGGUUGGGUUAGGCUUUGAAAAGAGUCUAUCAGAAUCUAUACUUUAUGUUAAACAUAAUGGCAUUGAUAUUCUUGUUGUGUCUAUAUAUGUUGAUGAUGUACUAGUUAUAGGGAGCAAUACAAAGAAUAUUAAGGAUUUCAAGCAAGAAAUGAUGCAAGCCUUCGAGAUGACUGAUCUUGGUCUAAUGUCCUAUUUUCUUGGAAUGGAAAUCAAACAGGGACAGAAUGAAGUUUUCAUUUGUCAGAAGAAAUAUGCUAAAAAAAUUCUGAAGAAGUUCAACAUGGAAGAUUGCAAGGAGAUGAGUACUCCUAUGAACCAAAAAGAGAAACUAAACAAAAAUGAUGGAGCAGAGAAAGUGGAGGAAACGUACUUCAGAGGCUUAGUCGGUUGUUUGAUGUAUCUCACAGCUACAAGACCCGAUAUUUUAUAUGUUGUAAGCAUUUAAUCGAUGUUCAUGCAUUGUGCUAGUGAGCUGCAUCUAAAAGCAGCAAAAAGAGUAAUCAGAUAUAUCAAAGGAACCAUUAAUUAUGGUGUCAAGUUUCAGAAAAAUCCAAAUCUGAAACUACUUGGGUAUUCUGAUAGUGAUUGGGCUGGAUCAGUGGAUGACAUGAAGAGCACAUCUGGAUAUUGCUUUAGUCUUGGCUCUGGAAUAAUUUCUUGGUGCUGAAAGAAGCAGGAUAUUGUGGCUCAAUCCACUGCACAGGCAGAAUUUAUGGCUGCAACGGCAGCAGCGAAUCAAGCUCUGUAGUUAAGGAAAAUAUUUGUUGAUUUGCAUAUGGAUCAAACAAAAGGAACUGAAGUAUUUGUGGACAACCAAUCUGCGAUUGCAAUUUCUAACAAUCCUGUAUUUCAUGCCAAAACAAAAUACUUCAACAUCAAGCUUUUCUUCUUAAGGGAAGUGCAAAAGAAUGGUGAUGUGAUUUUGCUCUAUUGCAAAACCAAGGAGCAGCUGGCUGAUAUCUUCACCAAUGCUUUUACCGGGAAAUAAAUUUCAACUUCUCAGGAAAAAACUUGCAGUUUGCAGCUCUUAAAGCAAGGAGGAGUGUUAGAAAAAUGCAUAAGAGUUGCAGCAUUUUAAUUUUUAUGUUAAUAUUAGUCAGCAGUAAAAUUAGUUUCUAAUCCUUAUCCUUAUCUUUAGGAGUUGGUUAUUUUUUCAGUUAGGAUUGUAACCUAUAAAUAAUUUUAAUUCUGCAAUAAAGUUGUAGUUUUUGCUUUCACCAAUCUUUCUUUGUUAAAGUUAUCAAACUCAUGUUCCGCUUGUUCAUUAACAAGUAAAAUCAGUUUCUUAUGUUCUUCACUCCCUGGAAACUUCUCUCUGUUAAAGUUAUCAAACUCAUGUUUCACGUGUUCAUCAACAAGUAAAAUCAUGAAUGAUUAAGAGAAACGAAGGAUGAGUACAACAAACUAGAAUUUAGGACCAGUCUUGUAGCGAAUAAAGGCAAAAGGUCUCGGUAGGGGUCAGCAGCGUCAGGAGGCGGAGGUGAACAACAAGGACUAUCUCUCGUAGCCGAUAUCCCACCCUUCUUCCGUAAAGAUGGAUUCGGGCUUAAGCCAACUCGACCAAGGGGGGAGGAUAACUCCUUUUCAAUAAUAGGAGCGUAACCUACUACUAAUGUAUAUAGACCAAGGACUUUCCAUUUCAACAGGAUUCUCAUCUCCAGCUCUUUCCCACCAGCUCAUUCUUUACUAGGAAUCUAGGCGAAUCCGCCGGGUUAAUUAACUCAACGUAAAGAAAGCUCAUUAGAUCAAAACUAGGGGAGUGCUUACUAAUAGCGAAAAUGUUCUUCACUCUAUGGAAACUUCUCUCCGUUAAAGUUAUCAAACUCAUGUUCCACUUGUUCAUUAACAAGUAAAAUCAGUUUCUUAUGUUCUUCACUCUCUGGAAACUAACACGAAGGCUGUACAGGACAAAACAGAUUUUAAAAAAUAAAGCCUUCCACGACUAAGGGUUGAAGGAGCGACUCAAGAAGAGGACAUAGAACCACUAGGCUAUCCAACAACCUUGUUUUCAGGUGGUUCAAAAUUAAUAUAUAUACAUAAAUAUAUAUUUUCUACGUUAUAUAUACAAUGUAAUUUUUUGCCGAGGGGGUUCGGGUGAUCCAUCAGAUGUUCCUCAGCCAUUGGAGGAAGAUGAAGAAGACGAGUCAUAUUUUUUCUGUGGAUUUACGUGGGAAUCAGUAGUCAUAGGCUACAGUUUUGGACUAGUUAUCAGAACUGUUGUGUGGAGCCUCAUGUUUAAAGCUGGUAAGCCAAAAUGGUUUGUGAAAUUUUUUGAUGGCAUCAUGCCCCACAAAAGAAGAAUGCCAAGGACAAGGAGAAGAGCUCAAAACCGAUGGACUUGCUAGAAGAUUGAAAGAGUGAAUUUCUCUUGUUUUUGUUUUUUUCCCUUUCAAUUUUCCGUUUGUUGUUUGUAUAGGUUUAAUAAUUGUAUGCGUUAUUAUAGCAUUAAUCGUUGUUCAAGUUAAGUUACCUUAUUUUAAGUUUUUUUCCAAUUGAUCCUGUGUAAGUAGCCAGAAAAUUCAACGCAGAAGAUUGUUAUCAAUUUUUAUAAAAAAAUGAAAUGUUGCUUACACUAAUUGUUGGAAUUGUAAAAAUAUGGCUAUGUGAUGAUUAACAAAAAAAACCAAAGGAGUCUGCGAUUAUUUUAAAACUAAAAGCAACUCCGUGCUUUGCAUAUCGCAACUCAAAAAGAUGAAUAGGUACAUAUAGAAUUGUAGUAACAUAACGUAAAUAGCUUCUAUCGAUAAGUGUACUCAAGCUAGCUGUUGAUUUGUAUGGUGCUUGUUUUUUCAAGUAAACCAUAACUUAGUACCAUCAGUAUCCUACAUCAGUAUCCUAAAAGGUUGUGGUAGUGUGGUAAAUACUCAUUCAUCCUUAAUCAAAAGUCUCAAAUUCGUAUCCUGAUUAUGGAGUCAUCUUCGGAGGGAGCGAUCUAUCCCCUGUAAGAGAAACACUAAGCUAAAGAGUUGGUUCAUUAGAUCUUUGGUGUGUAAAUUGUUUUGUAGAAGUGAUAUUUGUAGAGCCCUAUAACCAAUGUAAGAUUUACACUCUAAUACUGUAAAACAAUGGAAAUUGCCAAAGUAAAAAAAUCAAUCUGUUCCAUUUUAACCACUGAUAUCGUCUAGCACAGGAAGGGGAGCUUUGGAGUAACUGAUAAAGUUGUUGUCAUGUCAUCAUAAAGUCACGGAUUCAAACUUUGAAAAUAGUACCUUACAGAAAUAUAAGGUGAGGCUGUAGUCUGAUCCUUCCUGAACCCUGCACAUAACGGAAGCUUAAUACACCGCGCUGCCCAUAUCGUCUAGCACUGGUAUUUAUGGAAUCAAGAAAAUUCUGAAAAUGGUUUUUAUCUGAGAUAUUCCAUUCUGACAGAUUAACAAACAAUGGUCCUGUGUGCAUGAGAUCUACCAACACUCAUGAGGGAGUAUCUCCCUCCUUCAAACAACUGCACCUGCAAGUCUGGAGAGGUUGGCAACUUCUGCCAAAUUGAAUAUGAUCACAUGAAUCUGAGUAUGAAUUAAAUCUGAGCAAUACAAACAAUCGCAUAUAAACAAGUAACUGAAUCAUAAUAUGAAACAUAGAACUUUCCAAUAUUCUGAGCUAUUUAAAUAAGCAUAUGUAUAUCUAAUUUCUUUCUUAAAUGAAUAGCUAACAGUCUGAACUCAAGGAAAUUAGGUGCUUACAUAUACCUUACAAUCAUACAAAGCUUAAAUUCUUCACUUGGGCCAAUAUAUUGAACUUUUUGUCAAUAUUCUCUUUUAGGCCCUCCCCAUUAGGUUGUAAAUCUUAAGGUGUGAAGGUUAUGGCUUGACACCUAUUAUGUAAAUCUUAAGGUGUGAAGGUUGGAUGAUAAGGGAUAUGUUAGUAUCAAUGAUGGUGGAAAAUGAAAAUUUAUUAAGGGUUUUUUGAUUGUGGCUCGUGGUGACAAGCUGUAACACUCAAAAAUUUUGAACUAAAAAAAAGGGGACCGCUUUU